rnacentral:lncRNA from 1 species
CUGGCUUAUACUUGUUGGUACAGGAAUACCUGAAUUCCAAAAUGCCUGCGUUGAUUUCAAUGGUCAGUGUGUUUAUUCCUGCCUUGUGGACAGCUCUCACUUGUCUGGGCAUGUUUUUCUCUCUGACUUGUGACUUCUUAUCAGCCAUGAGCUUGGAAAUUAAUUCAACCUGUGGAGCUCCUGAAUUUCACAGACAAAUCCAGACCCCUGUGUGGAAAGCCUGCGGUGGUGUUCUCCGUCUUCCCACAGGACUCCCUGCAGCCAGGAAUUCUAGGGGAGCACCUGACGCGAGGUAUACGCCCAGAUGGCCUGAAGUAACUGAAGAAUCACAAAAGAAGUGAAAAUGUCCUGCCCCGCCUUAACUGAUGACAUUCCACCACAAAGGAAGUGUCAAUGGCUGGUCCUUGCCUUAACUGAUGACAUUCCACCGCAAAAGAAGUGAAAAUGGCCGGUCCUUGCCUUAACUGAUGACAUUACACCACAAAAGAAGUGAAAAUGGCCGGUCCUUGCCUUAAGUGAUGGCAUUACCUUGUGAAAGUCCUUUUCCUGGCUCAUUCUGGCUCAAAAUCACCCCCACUGAGCACCUUGUGACCCCCACUCCUGCCCGCCAGGGAACAAUCCCCCUUUGACUGUAAUUUUCCUUUACCUACCCAAAUCUUAUAAAAUGGCCCCACCCCUAUCUCCCUUUGCUGACUCUCUUUUUGGACUCAGCCUGCCUGCAUCCAGGUGAUUAAAAGCUUUUAUUGCUCACACA